UACGGAGGGUGCAAGCGUUAAUCGGAAUUACUGGGCGUAAAGCGCACGCAGGUGGCUGAGUCAGUCGAUUGUGAAAGCCCUGGGCUUAACCUGGGAAUUGCAGUCGAUACUACUCAGCUAGAGUAUGGGAGAGGGUAGUGGAAUUCCCGGUGUAGCGGUGAAAUGCGUAGAUAUCUGGAGGAACACCGGUGGCGAAGGCGGCAUCCUGGACCGGCAUUGACGCUGAGGCGCGAAAGCCAGGGGAGCAAACGGG
rnacentral:rRNA from 1 species